rnacentral:rRNA from 1 species
GACGAACGCUGGCGGCGUGCUUAACACAUGCAAGUCGAACGGAAAGGCCCUGCUUUUGUGGGGUGCUCGAGUGGCGAACGGGUGUGUAACACGUGAGUAACCUGCCCUUGACUUUGGGAUAACUUCAGGAAACUGGGGCUAAUACCGGAUAGGAGCUCCUGCUGCAUGGUGGGGGUUGGAAAGUUUCGGCGGUUGGGGAUGUACUCGCGGCUUAUCAGCUUGUUGGUGGGGUAGUGGCUUACCGAGGCUUUGACGGGUAGCCGGCCUGAGAGGGUGACCGGCCACAUUGGGACUGAGGUACGCCCCAGACUCCAACGGGAGGCAGCAGUGGGGAAUAUUGCACAAUGGGCGGAAGCCGGAUGCAGCAACGCCGCGUGCGGGAUGACGGCCUUCGGGUUGUAAACCGCUUUCGCCUGUGACGAAGCGUGAGUGACGGUAAUGGGUAAAGAAGCACCGGCUAGCUACGUG